UACGGGGGGGGCAAGCGUUGUUCGGAAUUACUGGGCGUAAAGGGUCUGUAGGUGGCCAACUAAGUCAGACGUGAAAUCCCUCAGCUUAACUGGGGAACUGCGUCUGAUACUGGAUGGCUUGAGUGCAGGAGAGGAACGCGGAAUUCCAGGUGUAGCGGUGAAAUGCGUAGAUAUCUGGAGGAACACCGGUGGCGAAGGCGGCAUCCUGGACCGGCAUUGACGCUGAGGCGCGAAAGCCAGGGGAGCAAACAGG
rnacentral:rRNA from 1 species